UACAGAGGGUGCAAGCGUUAAUCGGAAUUACUGGGCGUAAAGGGCGCGUAGGCGGAGCGACAAGCUGGAUGUGAAAGACCUGGGCUUAACCUGGGGGUGUCAUUCAUAACUGUCGUUCUAGAGUAUGGGAGAGGCGAGUGGAAUUCACAGUGUAGCGGUGAAAUGCGUAGAUAUUGUGAGGAACAUCGAUGGCGAAGGCAGCUCGCUGGGACGUUACUGACACUGAGGCGCGAAAGCGUGGGGAGCGAACAGG
rnacentral:rRNA from 1 species